rnacentral:piRNA from 1 species
UGUCAGGUAAACUCGUGGACAUUAGC